CAAGUCAGGAAACAACAAUGUUGGUGAGGAUGAGGGGAGGAAGCAGAACCCUCUUACACUAUUGGUGGGAAUGCAACCUGGUAUAGCCCCUCUGGAAAAUAGUAGGGGGAUUCCUCAAAAAGUUGAAAAUAGAGCUACCCUAAGAUCCAGAAAUUGCACUCCUGGGUAUUUACCCCAGAGAUACAAAUAGAGUGAAAAGAAGAAG